AUGGCCGGUCGGGUAGUCGCCCUGGGCGAUCGCUCCAGGGAGGAAAGUCCGAGCAGGAUAGGGCACGGUGAUGGCUAACGGCCACCGGGGCAGAGGCCCUAGGGAAAGUACCACAGAGAACAGACAGCCGAUGGCCGGUCCUGACCAGGACCAGCUCAGGCAAUGGUGAAAAGGUGCGGUAAGAGCGCACCGCGGCGAUGGUGACAUCGCUGGCACGGUAAACCCCACCGCCUGCAAGACCAAGUAGUCUGGCUGGAUCCUCUGUUCGAGGGUCCUGCACCUGGCCCGGGUGAUGCCAGAGGGUAGGUCGCUUGCCGAAUCCCGGCAGAGGUGGCUGGCAACAGCCACCCUAGAGAAAUGACUACCACCUCGCAAGGGGGCACAGAACUCGGCUUAUAGACCGGCCAUCGAU
rnacentral:RNase_P_RNA from 1 species